CGCCGACGGAGACGACCGCUUGGCACUUGCUAGUCGGUGUUGUGACCCGCUGCUGGCCCUGCACUUCCCAGCGUCUCCUCCCAGCGGCGCCGAUCUCUUGCCCUCGAGCUCGGUUGGGCGCUUCUGAAGUGACAUAAUGAAUUAAUACAUAGUUAUUUUAAAGAAGAGAAAACAAAAACUGAAUCAUAAUCGUUAUAACAUUAUAAAACAACAACAAACAAAAAAAAACCUUUCAAGUGCGCGAGGUGUUGCGAACUCACGGGCGAAAAGAAACAAAAACUCAGCGACAUCUUGGUGCUCCCGAAGAGGACUUUCAGCUUAAGACACUCAACUGCUCCCAGCCAUCUGACAUUUUACAGAUUACUUCCUCGGCUGCCAUGACGGAGGCGGAGGAGAGGCCACGAGCGCGAGGAGCCGUCACAGAAGCCGCCUCUGGCCAGGACGCUGCGUGCUAGUGACGCGGGCGAGGGAGCGAAGGACGGCGAGGCGAGGCGGGGCGGACGCGGACCUCCUCGGCACCCACUGA